rnacentral:tRNA from 1 species
GGGCGUGUAGCUCAGUGGUAGAGCGCCCGCUUUGCAUCCUAGCAAAGUUGCGGGAGGUCUAGGGUUCGAUCCCCUACCCGUCCA